rnacentral:miRNA from 1 species
GAAGAGGUCGCGGUCUGAC